rnacentral:lncRNA from 1 species
UGAAAGAGUUGAUAACUGUCAAAAAAAUAAGCCUGCAAUUGGAAUAUGGAAAGAGCAACGGUCAAAGUCUGCAGGACAGACUUGGCCGGUGGUGCCCCCACAUGAGGAAUGCUGCAAAGGAUCAUGACGGAACCCUGGAAAAUGAAGGUGAAGGGACUACGCAGUCCGUAAGUCAAAGGAUGCAUCAAACCACAUCAUGGCAUGGCUGGGACCCAACCCGGUACAAGAAAUGAAAGAAAUGUCCCUGCAUGACCCACAGUCCUGGACAAUGCAGCUUCCUCAGACAACACAAGCCCCGAACAUCACCUGGGGGAUGCUGAAAAAGAUGACUCAGGAGGCUGAGAAAAUCCUGCUCUGGACACAGACACCAUUCACUCCAAAUAAUUUGUUCCUUGGUAUGCUCUCUGUUGUACAUUGCAACUAGCAUAGGAUAUUGAUCCUUUUUAUGCUCUCACUUUGCCUGCAACCUGCACCUGCUACUCUCUAUUGGGCCCAUCUCUUAGAUACACCUUUUUUCUGGCCUGUUCCCUGGGCAGACACCCCUUUCCCAGCCUCUAAUAAUGUAACUACUUGGCUAGGAGGGACUGACUUACCCCCAGUGGGGUCCCUUAUUAAUGGCACACAUUGGACUAAGGUGCCAGGUAACACUACAUAUCACUCCACUAUCCUCCCACCGUGUGUAAGUUAUAAAAGUUAUAACCCUUACCAUGUUCCUGCCCAAACUUAAGUAUGGCUACAUAAUGGCAAAGGUAAUGCCUUAACAUUCUUGGUUGCAGGUAGCCUCAAACCAGGCAAUGCAACCAAUGCCACUUCCCCCAACAUUCCUUCCUGUGCUAAAGAACAUAGUCAGUAAAGUUAUUGAUUUCACUUGGCUGGGAGGUCUGUCACAGGGGACAAGCCCGUAGCCUCCAGUUAGGCAAUUAUAACAUCUUAGACUGGAGCCCCCACUGCCAUUUGCAGAGUGACCAUACUGAUGUCAACAUCCAUUGUGGCAUCAAUCACAGUUUCAUAGCCAAGUCUAGUUCCCCUAUAAUUUGGGCUGAUGCAGGGAUAGGAUAUCCCAGACCCCAAGUAGAGUCCAUGCCACCCCAAGACACUUUAUGGCACCUGGGACAUGGGACAUAUCAUAAUUCCAGUAACAACUAUACUAUGACCAUCCUUUGCUGGCAUUAAAUUCACCUUCUCUUUCUUUAAGUUAUCAUAUAAUGACUCUGUUGUCCUAAAACCAGCCUUUGAUCAUUUGUGCGCAGGACUGCUCUCUACUUGGGAUGUCAGCAAUGUUUAUUACCCACAAAUUGUCUUUACUCUAAGCCUUUGUCAUUAAAUCUGUACUAAAUAAAUGCGAGCAUUGCCAGAUUAGGGAGUUGCUAACUGUCUUUGGCCCCUAGUGCUAGCAUUCCCCUAGCCUGCUCUUUCACUGGGUUUCUGUGUCUGAGAGCUUCUUUCAUUCAUUGCUUGGCCAGAGUCUGCAGGACAGACUUGGCAUUACAGCAAAGUAAGCUAGAAAAAAUAUUAUUAAGAGAAUUAUAAGGAAGAGAAAAUAUAUUAACAAUUCAUUAAGUGGAACUGGCUCGUCAUAAAGGUCUUCAUCCUCAUCACCUUCACAUUGAGUAGGCUAAUUAGGAGGAGAAAGAAAAGGGUUAGUCUUACUGUUUCAGAGUUGGCAGAGGCAGAAGAGGUGAAAGAAGUGUAAGAGAAGGCAGAAGAGAUAGGCACACUCAGUGUAACUUUACAGAAAAACAUAUUAAUUUCUUUCUGACUGUUUUACUUUUUCAUUUCUCUAAAAAUUAUUCUAUAAGGCUCCAACACCAUUUGCUUCCACCAUUUGCUUUAGUUUCAGUGUCCAUGUCAGAGAUGAGUCCAUAUCAUAAAAGAAGCCAAAAGUAGUCUAAAUAAUCUGAAUCCUUCUGUCAAUUGUCUAAUGUCAACUUGUUUUCUGAUGCUGCUUGUUCUAUGUUUUAUUCCUCAUUCUCUUGUACUGGUUCAGAAGCACUCAUCUCCAUUAAGUCAUCUUUUAUUAAUUCCUCUGGUGUUAUGUCUAUAAGCUCUUGACUUUCUCCAAGAUCCAUAUCUUGAAACCCUUUAUCCCUCACCAUUUUUGCCAUAUCUACAAUCUCUUUCAUUAUUUCCUUGAUUAACUGUCAUAAAACUUAUGAAGUCACGCACAACAUCUGUAUAUAGUUUUCUCCAGCAAGAAUUUAUUGUUUCAGGCUCAGUGGCUUUCAUGGCUUUUUGUAUAAUAAUGAUGCCAUCUUCAAAGGGGCAAUCCUUCCAGACUUUCAUGAUGUUUUCUCUGUUAGGGUUCUCUUCCAUAGCGUUGUCAGUCUUCCGCAGAGUACCUUCUGUAAUGAGCCUUAAGGUUUUUAUAACUCCUUGAUCCGUAGGCUAAAUUAGAGACAUUGAUCUUGGGAGCUAAUGGGCCUCCUUGACAUCUUCAGCAUGGAGCACAUGAGGUUCUCCGUGACCAUGGGAGUUGUCCAAUAUCAAAAGGAUGUUAAAAGGUAGCCCUUUACUGGCAAGGUACUUCCUGACUUCAGUGACAAGGAAGCAAUGAAACCAAUGCAGAAAAAGCGUUCUCAUUGUCUAGGUUUUAAUGUACAACCAAAAGACUGGCAGCUGGUAUUUAUCUUUUUCCUUCAUGGCUCAGGGGUUAGAAGCUUUAUAGAUAGGGCCAGUCUUGAUAAUGAACCUGAUGCAUUUGCACAAAACAGUAGAGUUAGCCUAUCCUUUUCUGCCUUAAAUCUUAGUGCCCACUCCUCUUUCUAACUAAUAAAUGUCUUUUGUGGCUUCUGUCCCCUUUUAUCUGCAUUAAAAACUUGUUCAAGCAGAUAUAUUUUUUUCUCAAUGAUUUUCUUAAUGUUGUCUGGGAACUUUGCUGCCUCUUGGUUGGCAGAAGCUGCUUCUAUGGUGUUGACAUUUUUUUUUUAAGCCAAACCUCUUUCUAAAAUUAUCAAACCAUCCUUUGCUGGCAUUAAAUUCACCUUCUCUUUCUUUAAGUUAUCAUAUAAUGACUUCACUUUUCCUUGAAUCAUAUUAGAGUCUAUAUGUAUGUCUUUCUUAUAGCAAUCAUGCACCCACAUAUCAAAAAGCUGCAUUUUUGAUAUGAAAUAAAAAGGUAUUUUGCAAAAAGUGCAGUGUUUUGUUGCCUGCUGGUAUAGCUACAUCAACAGCUCCGUUAAUUUCCUAACUUUUUUUUUCUGCUAUAGCCCUUACAUUAGAUUUGCUUAUCAAAAAAUAGCAACUACAGCUAUGGACCUCAAUCUAUGGUACAUAUCAAGCAAUUCAAUUUUUACUUCUAAUGUCAUGACUUUGCCUGUUAGAAGCAAUUCCAGAAUCACUAGUGGCACUUCAUGUGGGUCCCCAUGUUGCUCUUCAAGGUUUAUGGCAUUGCACUAAACAUGAUUUAAAAAAUCCAUGAGUAUUACAAGAGAUACCUUCUUACUGUGAUACACAAUUUACUGUAGAGAUGAACUCUUCAUGCAGAGAUUAUUAGUAUCAUGCAGCAUUUUAAGUGGCUACUCAACAGAUACAUCCAGCCUUCCCGUUGGCUUGAUAGGGCCCUCUCUUCCAUUAGAAUGCUGCCCUGACUGCAGGGUUUCUAGAAGAGAAUGACAUUGAAGUGACGCCACAGUAGGGGCACAGUGCCCAUCACCAUGCCAAACUCCUGUGACUAAGCCAGAUUAUCAC